UUUAAAAUCCAUUUGUGAAGACAUUACCGUGAGUAUCUUCAUAGUACAAAAAACAAUUUGGAAGCUAUAAAACCAAACAUUGAUUCUCAUUGGUCAUUUAUUUUCAGUUCUUUUAUUCCUCUCUGCGUUUUAUUUCAUCGUACUCUACAAAACUCUCCUCAACAUUGUGCAGGAGUUUUUUCUCAACCACAAAAAGAGCUUUUUUCCUUCCCCCUCUCAGCUUAUUAUAAAAAGCUUCAAUUUUUAUGUGACAGAAAAUUCAAAUACUACUACUACUACUCUAGGACUGAAUUUGUCAGCAAUCAUUCAAUGAUUCAAAGCAUAUCUUACAAGGACAUGAGUUUGAAUCCGGUUGCCAACACGAGGACCUCGCUGCUGGUGGGUAAUAAUAGUGCAUCUGUAAGUGCUCAUUGAGCCUUUUGCAUGCCUUGGCCCUGGUGAGCCCCCACCACCUAAGUCACCUAAAACUUUUUAACAUCACAUAUGGUCAGUUAUUUUUAUCUUUUCUUUCAUUCGAAUCUUCAACUGUUGUUCCUAUAUUGGUUAGAAAGAGAUCACAUGAGUUGCUUACCUGGUAGAGUUGUUUUGGGAGGUUACACAUGCUUUUCAUGGCUCCUUUUACUCAUUGCUUUAACCAGCACAAUUAGCUAAUUUUUUAUUCUGCGCAUUUCCUGCAGCAUGCUUAUAGGCCGUGUUGCUCACGCUUCCAUAAUUGUCGUUUGAUAUGUCGGAAAAGUAAACUUAACAGAAUGCCAUUAUGAUAAGUUGCUUUGGACACAUAGAAGUAAACAAAUCUGACAUGUGAAUCUCACUGGCAUAUUGCGGAUAUUCCAAUAUCGUACUCCAAAUAAUAUAAUCUAUUCCUAUCAUAACAUGAUUAUUGCCUUUAUUCUUUUAAAUUUGAACCAUUGUCUGGUUCCAAUUACUAAUGUAGUUCAUUCAUUCUUUCUUUCUUUUUUCAUGCUUCAGCAGGGUUUGCAUUCUUUUAUCAAGCAUCUCAGUUUCUUAUAUAGAGAAUACCUGCAUAUCUGCCAUUGAUAAAUGGUGAAGAAUUGGUCUGGAAUAUAGUUGUAUAAGCACAGAGUUAGAGAAGUUUCGAAAUAAAUGGGGACCAUUACUCGCAGUUUUAAUAGCAGAAAACCGAGUGAGAUUAUGAAGCUUAUCGUGACAACAUUUAUCGGAGUAAUUUUUGGCUUCUUUUUAGGAGUAACGAUAACAAAGUUGAAUCUCCCAUCUAGAGCUCCUCCUUCCAUUGAUAGGUAUUACAUUGAAGGCGAACAUACAAGUCAUAAUAUUUCGUCUUCUAUAAAGAAGAAUAAUAACACAAAUUCAUCUCACCAUAAAUUAUCAAAUGAUACAUCAAAGAUUUGGGUUACAUCAAAUCCAAGAGGUGCAGAAAUAUUACCUCCGGGCAUAGUUGAGGCCGAGUCUGAUUUUUAUUUGCGCAGAUUGUGGGGAUUUAACGACCAAGCCGAAGUACCUUGUAACCUUCACCGUUGGCUAUGAUCAGAGAUAUAAUAUUGAUAAAGCUUUGAAAAAGUUUUCAGACAAUUUCACAAUCGUUCUAUUUCAUUACGAUGGUCGAACAAGUGAAUGGGAAGAGUUUGAAUGGUCAAAGAAGGUUAUUCAUGUGAGUGUUCACAAACAGACCAAAUGGUGGUAUGCCAAGCGGUUUUUGCAUCCGGACAUUGUGGCACC
rnacentral:lncRNA from 1 species